rnacentral:rRNA from 1 species
GACGAACCGUGCAAACGUUGUUCGGAAUCACUGGGCUUAAAGGGCGCGUAGGCGGCUUAUCAAGUCGGGGGUGAAAUACUUCAGCUUAACUGGAGAAGUGCCUUCGAUACUGGUGGGCUUGAGGGAGGUAGGGGUCUGUGGAACUUCUGGUGGAGCGGUGAAAUGCGUUGAUAUCAGAAGGAACGCCGGUGGCGAAAGCGACGGACUGGACCUCUUCUGACGCUGAGGCGCGAAAGCUAGGGGAGCAAACGGG